rnacentral:siRNA from 1 species
AUGGACUGGACCGCUGACAGAUUA